rnacentral:lncRNA from 1 species
CCGAAAUAUUUAUAAACAAGAGGCUCUCAAGAGCCUGAAUCGCUCACCUGGUAAACAAUGCCUUAUUGAACAUAUUGAACCAUGCCAGGCAAACAUGUACAGCUAAAAAUUCUUCAAUAUUACAAAUAUAUAUGACUUACUGUUUAUAAAUAAAGAAAAUGAGACCAAAACACAAACACUUAAAACUUAGCAAUGGACUGUGAAAAUGAGGUCAAGUUCAAAUAAAACCUGCGUAACCGACAUAUAGAUCAUAAAAUAUUUUCAUACACCAAAUAUAGUUGACCUAAUGCAUAAAGUAUUAAAAAAAUAGACCAAAACUAAAAAAGUUAACUUUGACCACUGAAUUAUGAAAAUGAGGUCAAGGUUAGAUGACACCUGUCAGCUAGACAUGUACACCUUACAAUCAUUCUAUACACCAAUUUAGUAGACCUAUUGCAUAUAGUAUAAGAAAAACAGACCAAAACACAAAAACUUACCCCUAUGUUCUAUUUAAAGUAAGGGCGGCCAUGUUUUUUGACGGAUCAAAAAAAAUCGAAGCACACACUUUGUGCAGGAUAAUCUAAGGAACUAUCAUGCUAAGUUUCAUCCAAAUCCAUUCAGUAGUUUCAGAGGAGAAGAUUUUUUAAAAUUAGCAAAUAUGAUGAACAAAUUGUGAAAAAUUGUCAUUAAAGGACAUUUACCCCUUAAGGGGUCAAUUGACAAUUUUUGUCAUAUUAACCUAUUUGUAGAUCUUACUUUGCUGAUCAUUUUUGCUGUUUACAGUUUAUCUUCAUCUAUAAUAAUAUUCAAGAUAAUGACCAAAAACUGCAAAAUUUCCUUAAAAUUACCAAUUAAGUGGCAGCAACCCAACAAUGGUUUGUUUGAUUCAUCUGAAAAUUUCUGGGCUGAUAGAUCUUGACCUAAUGAACAUUUUUACCCCAGUCAGAUUUGCUCUAAAUGCUUCCGUUUUUGAGAUAUAAGCCAAAAACUGCAUUUGACCCCUAUGUUCUAUUUUAAGUAACGGCGGCCAUGUUUUUUGACGGAUCAAAAAUCGAAGCACACACUUUGUGCAGGAUAAUCUAAGGAACAAUCAUUUUAAGUUUCAUUCAAAUCCAUUCAGUAGUUUCAGAGGAGAAGAUGUUUAAAAAAAUUGUUAACGACG